AAUAUAAGCUCCUGUGCUGUCUGACUGAAAGCCUACUCCACGAACUUAACUGGAAAUUGUAAGGCCUUCUGUUCCCUGAGUCCUCCCUCCACAAGAUUACAAGAAACUUGGGCCCCUGCCCACCCUGCCCUAACCUGCUGAAUAUAAGCUCCUGUGCUGUCUGACUGAAAGCCUACUCCACGAACUUAACUGGAAAUUGUAAGGCCUUCUGUUCCCUGAGUCCUCCCUCCACAAGAUUACAAGAAACUUGGGCCCCUGCCCACCCUGCCCUAACCUGCUGAAUAUAAGCUCCUGUGCUGUCUGACUGAAAGCCUACUCCACGAACUUAACUGGAAAUUGUAAGGCCUUCUGUUCCCUGAGUCCUCCCUCCACAAGAUUACAAGAAAGUAUGUGUACUGUUGUAGCUCUGCACUUUAAUAGUUGGUACUACUAGGUCGCAGUACGCUUCCCUGCCAGACUAGCCAGCAGCCACUACCUCCUACUGCACUCUCUAUUUGUUCCCCUUUCCUCCAG